rnacentral:rRNA from 1 species
UAUCAGCCUUUUGGGCAUGAUUCUGUGGAGCGUGAGGAGUUAAACGCCUUCAUGUCUACAUAUUCGUGUACUUUGGGUGUACUUGCCUGUGUGGUUAGUUAACAUCAAUUUUGGUUAUCAUAAAAUGGCUGGAGGAAUGUAGCUUCGAUUUCGAUUGAAGUGUUAUAGCCUUCGGCAGAUGUGAUGAUCGGGAUUGAGGAUUGCAACGGAUACCCUUCGGGGCUACCUGUCUGGUCUCUGAUCGUUGCUCUGGUGCCGAAAGCGUGCUUACGGUUAUCAAAGUCGAUGGUCAAUAGGUUAGAACGGGUUAAAUUCGUUAAGGAUGUUGACGUA